UACGGAGGGUGCGAGCGUUGUCCGGAAUCACUGGGCGUAAAGGGCGCGUAGGCGGCUCAUGAAGGCUGUGGUGAAAGUCCGGGGCUCAACCUCGGAUCGGCCGUGGCGACUCGUGGGCUGGAGCACUGUAGAGGCGGGUGGAAUUCCGGGUGUAGCGGUGGAAUGCGUAGAGUAUCCGGAAGAACACCAGUGGCGAAGGCGGCCCGCUGGGCAGUGGCUGACGCUGAGGCGCGACAGCGUGGGGAGCAAACAGG
rnacentral:rRNA from 1 species